CUUUGAGUGAUGAUUAACAAAUUAGUCGGAUACCCCUUCACUCUAUUUGAGUGACAAAUUGAAUCUGACAAGU